rnacentral:ncRNA from 1 species
UCUUAUCAAGAGUGGUGGAAGGAUCUGGCCUGAUGACACCCGGCAACCUUAAGUAUCGUACUUAAAAGGUGCUAAAUCCAGCUGAGCAUGAUGCUCGGAAAGAUAAGA